rnacentral:rRNA from 1 species
UAUCAUUAACUGAAUCCAUAGGUUAAUGAGGCGAACCGGGGGAACUGAAACAUCUAAGUACCCCGAGGAAAAGAAAUCAACCGAGAUUCCCCCAGUAGCGGCGAGCGAACGGGGAGGAGCCCAGAGCCUGAAUCAGCAUGUGUGUUAGUGGAAGCGUCUGGAAAGGCGCGCGAUACAGGGUGACAGCCCCGUACACAAAAGCGCAUGUGCUGUGAGCUCGAUGAGUAGGGCGGGACACGUGGUAUCCUGUCUGAAUAUGGGGGGACCAUCCUCCAAGGCUAAAUACUCCUGACUGACCGAUAGUGAACCAGUACCGUGAGGGAAAGGCGAAAAGAACCCCGGCGAGGGGAGUGAAAAAGAACCUGAAACCGUGUACGUACAAGCAGUGGGAGCACAGGUUUACCUGUGUGACUGCGUACCUUUUGUAUAAUGGGUCAGCGACUUAUAUUCUGUAGCAAGGUUAACCGAAUAGGGGAGCCGGAGGGAAACCGAGUCUUAAUUGGGCGUUAAGUUGCAGGGUAUAGACCCGAAACCCGGUGAUCUAGCCAUGGGCAGGUUGAAGGUUGGGUAACACUAACUGGAGGACCGAACCGACUAAUGUUGAAAAAUUAGCGGAUGACCUGUGGCUGGGGGUGAAAGGCCAAUCAAACCGGGAGAUAGCUGGUUCUCCCCGAAAGCUAUUUAGGUAGCGCCUCGUGAAUUCAUCUCCGGGGGUAGAGCACUGUUUCGGCUAGGGGGCCAUCCCGGCUUACCAACCCGAUGCAAACUGCGAAUACCGGAGAAUGUUAUCACGGGAGACACACGGCGGGUGCUAACGUCCGUCGUGAAGAGGGAAACAACCCAGACCGCCAGCUAAGGUCCCAAAGUCAUGGUUAAGUGGGAAACGAUGUGGGAAGGCCCAGACAGCCAGGAUGUUGGCUUAGAAGCAGCCAUCAUUUAAAGAAAGCGUAAUAGCUCACUGGUCGAGUCGGCCUGCGCGGAAGAUGUAACGGGGCUAAACCAUGCACCGAAGCUGCGGCAGCGACACUGUGUGUUGUUGGGUAGGGGAGCGUUCUGUAAGCCUGCGAAGGUGGCCUGUGAGGGUUGCUGGAGGUAUCAGAAGUGCGAAUGCUGACAUAAGUAACGAUAAAGCGGGUGAAAAGCCCGCUCGCCGGAAGACCAAGGGUUCCUGUCCAACGUUAAUCGGGGCAGGGUGAGUCGACCCCUAAGGCGAGGCCGAAAGGCGUAGUCGAUGGGAAACGGGUUAAUAUUCCCGUACUUGGUGUUACUGCGAAGGGGGGACGGAGAAGGCUAUGUUGGCCGGGCGACGGUUGUCCCGGUUUAAGCGUGUAGGUGUGUGUUCCAGGUAAAUCCGGUUCACUUUAACACUGAGGCGUGACGACGAGGCACUACGGUGCUGAAGCAACAAAUGCCCUGCUUCCAGGAAAAGCCUCUAAGCAUCAGGUAACAUCAAAUCGUACCCCAAACCGACACAGGUGGUCAGGUAGAGAAUACCAAGGCGCUUGAGAGAACUCGGGUGAAGGAACUAGGCAAAAUGGUGCCGUAACUUCGGGAGAAGGCACGCUGACACGUAGGUGAAGUGAUUUACUCAUGGAGCUGAAGUCAGUCGAAGAUACCAGCUGGCUGCAACUGUUUAUUAAAAACACAGCACUGUGCAAACACGAAAGUGGACGUAUACGGUGUGACGCCUGCCCGGUGCCGGAAGGUUAAUUGAUGGGGUCAGCGCAAGCGAAGCUCCUGAUCGAAGCCCCGGUAAACGGCGGCCGUAACUAUAACGGUCCUAAGGUAGCGAAAUUCCUUGUCGGGUAAGUUCCGACCUGCACGAAUGGCGUAAUGAUGGCCAGGCUGUCUCCACCCGAGACUCAGUGAAAUUGAACUCGCUGUGAAGAUGCAGUGUACCCGCGGCAAGACGGAAAGACCCCGUGAACCUUUACUAUAGCUUGACACUGAACAUUGAGCCUUGAUGUGUAGGAUAGGUGGGAGGCUUUGAAGUGUGGACGCCAGUCUGCAUGGAGCCGACCUUGAAAUACCACCCUUUAAUGUUUGAUGUUCUAACGUGGACCCGUUACCCGGGUUGCGGACAGUGUCUGGUGGGUAGUUUGACUGGGGCGGUCUCCUCCUAAAGAGUAACGGAGGAGCACGAAGGUUGGCUAAUCCUGGUCGGACAUCAGGAGGUUAGUGCAAUGGCAUAAGCCAGCUUGACUGCGAGCGUGACGGCGCGAGCAGGUGCGAAAGCAGGUCAUAGUGAUCCGGUGGUUCUGAAUGGAAGGGCCAUCGCUCAACGGAUAAAAGGUACUCCGGGGAUAACAGGCUGAUACCGCCCAAGAGUUCAUAUCGACGGCGGUGUUUGGCACCUCGAUGUCGGCUCAUCACAUCCUGGGGCUGAAGUAGGUCCCAAGGGUAUGGCUGUUCGCCAUUUAAAGUGGUACGCGAGCUGGGUUUAGAACGUCGUGAGACAGUUCGGUCCCUAUCUGCCGUGGGCGCUGGAGAACUGAGGGGGGCUGCUCCUAGUACGAGAGGACCGGAGUGGACGCAUCACUGGUGUUCGGGUUGUCAUGCCAAUGGCACUGCCCGGUAGCUAAAUGCGGAAGAGAUAAGUGCUGAAAGCAUCUAAGCACGAAACUUGCCCCGAG